rnacentral:ncRNA from 1 species
AAAAAGUCGAUGAUAAGGGAAAGUACCUUAGUGAUAACUUUAAGCGAGCAGAGGAUGGUGGAAGCUCUGUAGUUUUAGCUUUGGGAAUAGAGCCUUUAAGACGCUGCCGGAAAGUGCAAAGCAUUAGUAUGGUAAGUCCCUGAUAGGGUUAAAAAAUGAGUGGGCAACUGCCAAUUAGAGUGGUACCGCGGUCAAACCGUCUCUUUG